UGCGUUGGCGGAAUAUUAAGUCAGUGGUGAAAUCCUGCGGCUCAACCGUAGAACUGCCAUUGAUACUGAUAUUCUUGAAUGUAGUUGAGGUAGGCGGAAUGUGUAAUGUAGCGGUGAAAUGCUUAGAUAUUACACAGAACACCGAUUGCGAAGGCAGCUUACUAAACUAUGAUUGACGCUGAGGUACGAAAGCGUGGGGAGCGAACAGGAUUAGAUACCCUGGUAGUCC
rnacentral:rRNA from 1 species